GCCUGAGCUCAGCUCAGUUGGUAGAGCAUGUGACUCUUAAUCUCAGGGUUAUGGGUUCGUGCGCCACGUUGGGCA